UUCUCCCCUCCCCGAGGCCAGAUGGUCGGCUGGGAACAAAGAGCCGGUUCUGCCAGGCCCAGGCCAGCGGGAGGCACCGCUCUGCGUCUCCCCAGCGCCCUGCCAGCCUUUCCUGGACUUCAGAGUAGCCCCCUUGGAGGGACAGGCUUCUGGAGCUUUCUAUCCAAACUGGCACCACAGGGGAGGCAGGCUUCGGUCUCCCUGAAGCCAGAGCUGGCAGCUGGGGCUCAGGACGCCAGCCCCGAGCGAAGCAGAGGAGAGGUUGAAAGGCGGCAGCACGACUGAUCUGCUCGUGUUUAUUUUCACACGCUCUGUGGUUUGGGGACAGGCUUUGACGAGCUGUCACUCCUCUGUCCUUCUCUUCUCCCGGUCUCUUCCUUUGUCGUUGUCCGACUCCCCGGGAGGUUAAUUCCGGAAUCUCAGGACAGUGCCCUCAGCAGAGAUGUCCUUUGUGUCAACGUCCACCCCUGAGCCCAGAGAGCUGACCCCUGUGUGGCCCGACUGGCAGCCCCCAGGAGGCCCUGGGACAGGAGCCAGGACUGCACUAGGCGUGGCGGGGCCGUUGGCCUGGUCAGCGGUCACUGAUGGCGCUUGCAGGGCCCUGGGCCGGAUGUGGGGACGGUAGCACAGCGGUGGCGCCCCCACUGCCCCCAGGAGCUCAUACCAGGCUGGCGGGAGGCCACUGGGGUCCAGCCUCUGAGGUUCCCCGAGACCCACACCCCAGGGUAUCUGAGGGCUCCAGCUGCCCUUGUGCCCCCCAGGAGGGGCGCCUGGGGCACUCGUAACCUCCUGGACCCCGUUGUCCUCCUUCUCGCGCAGGUGCCCACUGUCCCCAGGACUCCGUGAAAUCAAACAAACAAGCCAGCUUCUCCCGGGUCCCAAGCCUCUCCCAUCCUUGUUAAUAUUCCUUUCCUUCUGCUACGUCUGUUUCAAAAAAGGAGAAACCAAACAACACCAAUAGGCCUGUGAGCCCAGAAGCCUCCCGGGGUGGGGGUGGGGGCAGCAGAGGGAGACCCCGAGCA
rnacentral:lncRNA from 1 species